rnacentral:rRNA from 1 species
UACGUAGGCAGCGAGCGUUGUUCGGAGUACUGGCGUAAAGCGUGACGCAGGCGGUGAUGUAAGACAGGUGUGAAAUCCCCGGGCUUAACCUGGGAACUGCAUUUGUGACUGCAUCGCUGGAGUGCGGCAGAGGGGGAUGGAAUUCCGCGUGUAGCAGUGAAAUGCGUAGAUAUGCGGAGGAACACCGAUGGCGAAGGCAACUCCCCUGGGCCGAUGACUGACGCUGAGGAGCGAAA